rnacentral:rRNA from 1 species
AUUGAACGCUGGCGGCAUGCCUUACACAUGCAAGUCGAACGGCAGCACGGGUGCUUGCACCUGGUGGCGAGUGGCGAACGGGUGAGUAAUACAUCGGAACAUGUGCUGGAGUGGGGGAUAGCCCGGCGAAAGCCGGAUUAAUACCGCAUACGAUCUACGGAUGAAAGCGGGGGACCUUCGGGCCUCGCGCUAUAGGGUUGGCCGAUGGCUGAUUAGCUAGUUGGUGGGGUAAAGGCCUACCAAGGCGACGAUCAGUAACUGGUCUGAGAGGACGACCAGCCACACUGGGACUGAGACACGGCCCAGACUCCUACGGGAGGCAGCAGUGGGGAAUUUUGGACAAUGGGCGAAAGCCUGAUCCAGCAAUGCCGCGUGUGUGAAGAAGGCCUUCGGGUUGUAAAGCACUUUUGUCCGGAAAGAAAUCCUUGGCCCUAAUACGGUCGGGGGAUGACGGUACCGGAAGAAUAAGCACCGGCUAACUACGUG